GACGAACGCUGGCGGCGUGCUUAACACAUGCAAGUCGAACGGAAAGGCCCUGCUUUUGUGGGGUGCUCGAGUGGCGAACGGGUGAGUAACACGUGAGUAACCUGCCCUUGACUUUGGGAUAACUUCAGGAAACUGGGGCUAAUACCGGAUAGGAGCUCCUGCUGCAUGGUGGGGGUUGGAAAGUUUCGGCGGUUGGGGAUGGACUCGCGGCUUAUCAGCUUGUUGGUGGGGUAGUGGCUUACCAAGGCUUUGACGGGUAGCCGGCCUGAGAGGGUGACCGGCCACAUUGGGACUGAGAUACGGCCCAGACUCCUACGGGGGGCAGCAGUGGGGAAUAUUGCACAAUGGGCGGAAGCCUGAUGCAGCAACCCCGCGUGCGGGAUGACGGCCUUCGGGUUGUAAACCGCUUUCGCCUGUGACGAAGCGUGAGUGACGGUAAUGGGUAAAGAAGCACCGGCUAACUACGUG
rnacentral:rRNA from 1 species